CAUUAAAGAGUUCUAUAACUCCCAAACCCAUGUGAACAUACCUAACGUUGCCUCGGCAGGUCGCACCUACCUUGUAGCACCCUACCCUGUAGGGCCUACCCGGGAGGUGCGGGUAAGCCUGCCGGCGGCCCACCAAACUCUGUUUGAUAUUGAAUUCUGAACCUAUAACUAAAUAAGUUAAAACUUUCAACAACGGAUCUCUUGGUUCUGGCAUCGAUGAAGAACGCAGCGAAAUGCGAUAAGUAAUGUGAAUUGCAGAAUUCAGUGAAUCAUCGAAUCUUUGAACGCAUAUUGCGCCCAUUAGUAUUCUAGUGGGCAGGACCGUUCGAGCGUCAUUUCAACCCUUAAGCCUUCGUUGCUUAGUGUUGGGAGCCUACGGCAACGUAGCUCCUCAAAGUUAGUGGCGGAGUUGGUUCACACUCUAGACGUAGUAAUUUUUUAUCUCGCCUAUUAGUUGGACUAAUCCCCUGCCGUAAAACCCCCAAUUUAUCAAGGUUGACCUCGAAUCGGUUCAGACAAACUCGCUAAAUUGAAGCAUCUUAGUCAGCGAAGGAAAAGAAACCAACAGGGAUUGCCCUAGUAACGGCGAGUGAAGCGGCAACAGCUCAAAUUUGAAAUCUGGCCCUCGGGUCCGAGUUGUAAUUUGUAGAGGAUGCUUUUGGCGCGGUGCCUUCCGAGUUCCCUGGAACGGGACGCCUUAGAGGGUGAGAGCCCCGUACGGUUGGACACCAAGCCUCUGUAAAGCUCCUUCGACGAGUCGAGUAGCUUGGGAAUGCUGCUCUAAAUGGGAGGUAAAUUUCUUCUAAAGCUAAAUAUUGGCCAGAGACCGAUAGCGCACAAGUAGAGUGA
rnacentral:rRNA from 1 species